rnacentral:rRNA from 1 species
CCUACGGGAGGCAGCAGUGAGGAAUAUUGGUCAAUGGGCGCGAGCCUGAAGCAGCCAAGUAGCGUGAAGGAUGACUGCCCUACGGGUUGUAACCUUCUUUUAUAAAGGAAUAAAGUGAGGGUCGUGUGCCUUUUUGUAUGUACUUUAUGAAUAAGGAUCGGCUAACUUCGUGCCAGCAGACGCGCUAAUACGGAGGAUCCGAGCGUUAUCCGGAUUUAUUGGGUUUAAAGGGAGCGUAGAUGGGUUGUUAAGUCAGUUGUGAAAGUUUGCGGCUCAACCGUGAAAUUGCAAUUGAUACUGGCAGCCUUGAGUAUAGGUGAGGUAGGUGGAAUUCGUGGUGUAGCAGUGAAAUGCUUAGAUAUCACGAAGAACUGCGAUUGCGAAGGCAGCUUACUAAACUGCCACUGACAUUGAUGCGCGAAAGUGUGGGUAUCAAACAGGAUUAGAUACCCGAGUAGUC